rnacentral:rRNA from 1 species
UACAGAGGGUGCAAGCGUUGUUCGGAAUUAUUGGGCGUAAAGGGCGUGUAGGCUGCUUGUUAAGUCUUCUGUGAAAUCUACGGGCUCAGCCUGUAAAGUGCAGAGGAAACUGGCGAGCUUGAGUGUCGGAGAGGAUAGGGGAAUACCCGGUGUAGAGGUGAAAUUCGUAGAGAUCGGGUGGAACACCAGUGGCGAAGGCGCCUAUCUGGCUGACAACUGACGCUGAGACUCGAAAGCAUGGGGAGCGAACAGG